ensembl:lncRNA
GGGGACGGCCCUCAGAUAUCUGGCGUGGCAGAGUGUGUGCACGUCUGUGUACGGGGAGCCUGCCUGGGAUUGGGGGAGCAGAGGAAGAGAGAGAAGAGCUCUAAGCAGGCGGAGGUGUUCCCGCCGUUCAAGGGCGUCGUGACAGGAGCCGUCCCAGAAUCAUAGCCGGAGCUCCCCAACCGGAGGUGGUGGUGAGGAAGGGCAGCGGCUUGGGACCAGACCCAGACUCUCUGUGUCCCCACCUGUGCGUCCGCAGCUGCGAGGUACUGAGGCAGGGGCUCUGAGGAAGAGGAAUUUACCUGGGGCUCUGAAAGUUCUGGAGUUUGUCCUGUAGACGAGAGAGGCAAAGGGAAGAGGCCAUUGCAGCCCGAGGGAGCAAGCCUGGAAGUGAGGGCACUGGGGGCUGCCCCCAGACUGAAGGGAGGAGGAGGCCCACGGAGGGGAGGCUGGUCAGGGUGUGUUGGGCUCUGUCCGUGGGACCAGGGUGUCCGGGCUUCAUGUGUGGGCACCAGGGAGCAGCUGUGCUGUCUGAGGAGGGGUACAGCGGCCAGAGGACUUUUUUUGGCCAGGGGGGCAGGUAGGGUGUGGCUGGAUGGGAGGUGGAGAGGUGGGAGGCCAG